UCCUCCGCCCACGCAGCCUCUGCUCCAGGCGCCCCCUCCCUCCCACUGGCCCCCCUGGGGCGGUGCUGAGUCCUGGGAUCUGCUGGGCUACGCCCGUCGGUGGAAACAAGCGGAGUAGGGCGUGAAUGAAGGGGGCGGCAACUUGCUGGGUGAUGGGCUCCUGGGUCUGCGUCCAGGAAAGAAGAGGAGGGAGGAGCAAUUUUGAGGGCUCCGGUCCGCGUCCUGCGGCGGAUGGCUUGGCGGGAGAGGAAGGAGAGGAGUAAAAUCCCGCGGAAGGGGCUUGUCCACUCUUUGAAACGCAGUCAGAAAGGGUCCGGGUGCGAACCUCUGUGUGGGAGAGUGAAACUACCGGGUAUUUGUAUCUCAACAUUGUCAUAAGGUUCAAAUAGAAACUAUGUGACAAACUCUGCAAAUUGUAGAAUGCAAAGCAAAUUUAAGACGCUAUUGUCUUAAAUAAAUAAGCUCAGUGCCCUGAGUUUAUGUAUUUAUGUUUCUUUAUAUCUACUUGUAUAUCUGUGUCUCUGUCUAUCUAGGUUUGUAUUGGGGCCCAUCUAUGUGUGGAUUUAAAAAUAUAUACAUUUUAAAAAUCAUUGACUUGUCAGGCCCCGCCAGAGGCCCAGAGCGCCCCCGCAGCCCGCGCCGGAGCUGCUGAGAUGUCUGUUCUUCGCUUCCCUCCCACUCCUACCACCCCCACUCCCCUCCUACUCCCUUCCGUUGAGAACAAGGAAUUUCCAGCCUUUAGCAAAGGGAGAGAGAGGUAGGAGAGACUAAGACCAGGAGAAACUAUAAGAAAAACAUAAAGAUAAGAGGGUGUGUGUGUAUGUGUGUGUGUUGGGGGAGAGACAAAAAGGGAAUGAGAAAAAAACAACAAAAAUUUUCAUUGCUUUUUCUGCAUGGGCCCCAUUCUCCUUAGUGUCCCACUUGUUCAUUUAGGACCACAUCGGUAUCUGCUCCCCCCCCCCAUCAGUGUUCUCAAAUGCACACAGCAGAUCAACUGAUCUCAUUUAAUCAAAGUUUAAUAUUCUUUUUAUUGUCUACACUGGUCUCUUCCAGGAAAGGAGACAGCAUCCUUGGACCUAGUUCUCCAGGAAAAGGGGGAAAAGAUUGUGAAGAAAAGGGAGAAAGUGGGUGGAAGAGGAGUGAGGAUACUGCAAACCAGUCAUUGCGAACCAGAAGGAUUGUUGUUCCCAGGCACGUGUAGAUUUUCAUCUAGCAGAUUGCACCGCUCACUCCUCCUCCCCACUUUGUCACAGUGCCAAAUGCUUGAAGACUCACUCACUAUGGCUCAAACUCACCUUCCUGGACCCUCUCCUUCCUGGACCACCUCCAUGCCUCCAGGCAAAAUUAAUUCCUCCCACCUCUCCAAGGAGGUCUUUAUACACUAUUUCAAUAUAGUUGUAUUACCCUCAGCUCAGGACCUCUUUAGAGGCCUGAUACCUGGUUUGCCCUCUAAAAUGAAUGAAUUGAUGAUGCUAUUUACAGGCCUGAGCAACUAAGAAGAGGACAAUUAACACAAAAUUCAGAGCAAAAGGGGCUGAGCCUGGACAAAAUUGUUUUUAAGUGAAGACAUUUGUUUUUAUGUCUCUACUCCUCUUAGUUUCCAGUGAGUCCCGCAAGUCUGGCUCAUUGGCAUUCUUAAAUGUCCACUACUCUGGUAAAUUAAUUCACACCCUGGUACUAUACAUAGAAAGCUGAAAUCCUUGCUGGUAAUAGAAAAAAAUGAAUAUAGGGCUGGGGUUGUAGCUCAGUGGUAAAAGCUUUUGCCUUGUAUGCGUGAGGCCCUGGGUUUGGAU
rnacentral:lncRNA from 1 species